GCGAACGCUGGCGGCGUGCUUAACACAUGCAAGUCGAGCGGUAAGGCCCUUUCGGGGGUACGACGAGCGGCGAACGGGUGAGUAACACGUGGGUGACCUGCCCUCAGCUCUGGGAUAAGCCUGGGAAACCGGGUCUAAUACUGGAUAUGACUCCAUGACGCAUGUUGUGGGGUGGAAAGCCUUGUGCGGCUGAGGAUGGGCCCGCGGCCUAUCAGCUUGUUGGUGGGGGGAU
rnacentral:rRNA from 1 species